rnacentral:ncRNA from 1 species
GCGAACUCUAUGAUUAAGAGGAGUAUGUUUUAUAAAAAUCGUUGCAGAGAGCCGGUGAUGGUGCGAAUCCGGUACGAUGGGUAAGACAGAAUGGACUUAUGAGAGGUUUCUUGAACGAAAGUAGGGAAACACGGAAUUCCACCGUUAAAAGGAUAGGGUAUCGGAAAGAACAAAUGCGUAAGCGCCUUGCUCAGCGGCUUAUGGAUUUCGUAGUCGCAGGCUCGAGAUAAAGGAAACACAGUGAGGUAGUUCACGAACAAGUGAAAAUAGCACUACCAUUUUCAACUGAUGUUGACUUAUCGUAGGGAGAAGACGGAGAAAUCCACUAGCCGCUAGGCGCUGAAGCUAGACGAAAACAAUCCCGUACCCGAAAAAGCGGAAGGAGUGUAUUCUCCUUCAACAUGAGGUGGCACCGCGGUAUGAAUCGUCCUCUAU